GGCCCUGGGCUGAACGUGGUGCUAAACCGCUGAGCCACCCAGGCUACCCUGGAAAUCAUCUCUUUUAAUCCAGAAACCAAUUUGAGGGACAUUUCUUUGUGUUAACACCUUCCAUUCUGUUUUCUGUUUUUGUUUUGUUUUUGUAGAAUUAUAUUAAUUGGAUAUUGGACCCCUUGGACUGGUCUUCUCAUUUUUCAAAAUGUUCUUACAGUUUUCCAUUUUUAAAAAUGUUUCUUCUAUUUUCUGGGACAUUACCUCCACUUUAUCUUCCAACUUUUCCAUUAGAAAUUUUUUUUUCAUAUUUCUUCUCAUAACUUUUCACUUCUAAAAGAGCAAUUUUUUGUUCUUUUUUAUAGCAUCUCAUUCUUGUUCAUGUCUCAAAGAAUGGUAAUUAUAGUUGUUUUAAAAUUUUUUAUUUUUAUUUGUGGUAAAAUACACAUUACAUAAAAUGUACCAUCUUAACCAUUCUUAAGUAUUAUUCUUAAGUUCAGUUCAUUAUUAUUAAGCAUUCUUAGUUCAGUAUUAUUUAGCAUAUUCACAUUGUUGUGCAACCAAUCUACAAAACUUUGUCAUCUUGUGAAACCAAAAUGCUAUACCCAGUAAACAACUCCCCAUUUCUCUCUGUCCUAGCCCCUGGCAACCUCCAUUCUGCUUUCUGUCCCUAUGAUUCCAUAUAAGUGGAACCAUGCAGUAUUUGUCUUUGUGACUGGCUUAUUUUGCUUUGCAUGAUACCCUCAAGGUUCAUCUGUGUUGUAGCAGGUGUCAGAUUUUCCUUCCUUUUAAAGGCUGAGUAAUAUCCCAUCAUAUGGAUACACCAUAUUUUGUUUACAUGAUCAUCUGUCGAUGGUCAUUUGGGUUGCAUCAUCCCUUUGGCUAUUGUGAAUAAUGCUACGACCAUGGGUCUACAGCUAUCUCUUCAAGGCUCUGCUUUCAAUUCGUUUGGAUCUAUAACCAGACGUGGAAUUGCUAGAUCAUAUGCAACGUUUUUCUGCCAAAUGAGAAAGUUGGACUCAUCAACAUAGUCCCUUCUGCUUUGGACAUUCUACCAUCAUAGGAAUUGUUUUGUUGAGUAGGAGCUGAGUUCAAAACUAGACACCACAGGGGACACUGAAGAAAUGCAUGAGAUGUUCCUGCUGUCGCCAGCCACUGAGAGGCUCCUGCUGAUCCCCGUCUCCUGGUGUUCAUGCCUGUGCAUAGUCCCCUCCCACAUUGAGUAGGGUGUCCUACUCAUGGGUCAGGCAUUGGAGAAAGGACGUGAUGUGGUUUCUGAGGCAAGGACAUAAAGGACAUUGUGGGUCACCAUCUCUGGCGGAAACCAGCUGCUGGGUCAUGAGGGCACUUGAGCAUCCCUCUGGAGAAGUCCACAUGGGGAGAAACUGAGGCCUCGGCCAACAGCCAGCAUCGAUUCACCACACAUGUGAGGGAGCCACUUUGGAAGUGACCCCGCUGCCCAGAUCAGACCUUCAGAUGACUCUGGCUUCACCUAGUUUACAUCUGGACUGCAACCUCAUGAGAGGCCCUGCACCAGACCAUGUGGCUCACCUGCUCCCAGUUUCCCAGCCCACACAAACUGGGACAUAAUACAUGCUUGCUGCAGUCUUAAAUUGCUAAGCUUUGGGAGGAUUUGUUUUUAGCAAAAGAUAACGAAGACAAUCCCUAAUAUGCCAACUGACCCCCAAACCUCUGUGUGAUUGCGCUCCACCCUCACCCCCAGCUUCCCUGGGAGACCUUCUCUUUGCCUCAGCCACGCUACAUGAAGCUCCUUCCAGUUCCUCUCCGUCCCCAGCAUGGUCACAUCCUUUCUACAGGUCAUUCCUGCUCAUCCCAUCCUUCCUCUUCAUCUUGUCCUCUUCUAGCUGAUUCAUCUUUCAAGCCAAUGCUUAGGUGUCAUCGUUCCUAAGGAAACAGUCCCCUAAGCUCUCCUGGCUUCCUUUGGUUCUGCCCCUCACAGCUCCCUUUAAAGCAUUUAUCAGAA